CCAAAGAUGAAAAGUAGGAGAAGAAGUUUUAGAUCUGAGACACUCUCAGAAAACCCAAGAUGAAGGAAGGGAAGAGGUGAACACAGCAACCCUAGAAGAAGACCCUCUUCUUCUUCUCUUUGCUCUCACCUAGAUACCUAGUCUUGUGUCUAUUGUAUAUCCACGUUCCAACCUUUUUUCUCCUUAAUUUUUACACACCCC
rnacentral:lncRNA from 1 species